AAGGAUCUCCAGAGAGGUCACGGGAGGUCAUGAAAGUAACAUCAGUUCCUAGGAAGAGAAAGUGGAGUGAGGUGGAGAUUGCGGCUGUAGAAGAGACAAUGAUGAAAUGUAUUCACUCGGGAGUUACUCCUGGAAAAGUCGACUACAUUGCAUGCAUUACAGCAGCCCCCAAAGCCCUCGGUGAACGAGACUGGCAGGCGGUGAAGUAUUAUAUAAAAAACAGAAUCACAGCAUAUGAGAGAAAGACCACUAAAAAGUAAGGUUGAUUUUGGUUGUUGAUUCCGUUUUUGCGUUUUAGUUGAAUUAUAAUUUUUUUUUUGGUCUCAAUACUAGGGCUGCACGAUAUUGGGGAAAAAGGACAUUGCGAUAUCUUAUUUUUCUGCGAUAUAUAUUGCGAUAUGAUAUCUAAUCUAAUUUUUUCUUACAAACAAACAUGGCAUGAGCACACAUACAUUCUCAUUUUAAAUGAUUUAAACAUCAGAGUAUUGUUUAAAUUAGAGUAAAUUAUUUGUUUGUAACUUUAGGAUAUGGUUUGAAUUGUUAACAUUUAACUAACAUGAACUUACCAUGAGCAAUACUUGUGUUACUAUAUUUUUUAAUCUUUGUUUAUCUUCGUUAUCUUAAAAACACAGCUGUUCAUUGUUUGGUAAUGUUACUUCACAGUAGGGAUGCACCGGUUGACCGGCCAUUAAUCGGAACCGGCCGGUUUUUGCUUAAAAUACGCAAUCGCCCGUUUUUGGUGUUUUUCCGGCCGAUUUUUCCGGAAGUGAGCUCGCGUGCACAGACUACAUUGUAAUCGUUUGCUAUGUAAUUUGUGUGGAAGAGUAUUUCGAAAUCUGUGCGCAGGACACAGGCAGUCGAUCAGUACCGGAAAUGCAGAGCUUCAUGUCUGAGGCACAGAUGGCAGGAAGUGAACAGCCGCUGUUGUACUGGCGCACAAAUAAGAGCCUUUCCUGCACACUGAAGCUGCCCGAGCGUAUACUGUACCGGUCCGCGCCCUGAACACGAGUAGACCGUGAAGAGAUGUUCAGCUCAACUUCUCACGUGUUGGAUGAGAAACGAAACGGACUAAACUGUGACAAAACAGAAUUAUUUUUUAUUUAUUUAUUUUACUUUUUAUUAUUAUUAUUAGAACUUGCAUUCAUGUUUGAAAAGCCAGAAAUAAACUUCAGUUCUGAAUUAGGAUGAUUAUUUUUAUUUUACCCUAAAAUAGACUUAAUUUAAUUUAAAAAUCAUCUGCUGUAGCACACUGAAAAAAAGUAUUUCAUCUAAUUAAAAUAUUUUAGGGUAAUGAUUCACAUCUAUAUUUUUUUUACUUGAGUCAACAAGUUAUUUAUUUUUCAUUGGCUCAAGUAAAAAAAAUAUAGAUGUGAAUCAUUAUCCUAUUUAUUUAUUUUUUAUUAUUAUUGGAUGAAUGAAACCCUUUGCAUCUUUGUUUUAUUCGCACAAACAUUAUUUGAUUUUAACAUUUUGGAAAAUGUAUUUAUAUAGCAUACUUUUAUUUAGUCUCACUGGUAAAGACCUUUUUUUUUUAACUUAAAACCAAAUUUAAAAACUAAAAUACUGAAUGCUGAUCAAGAAACCUCUUUUUGAAUGUGUGUUGAUUGUGUUGUGUGGACUGUAGAACUAUGCAGUUGUUACCUUUAAUUUCACAUGGUUACAGUUAAUCUUUUAUUUAAGGCCAGUUCUCUGUAGUUUCAACCCAAUUAAAAAACAAAAGCUAAAUGCUGAUGUCUGUACCAUCUGUGUUUGUAUUGAAUGUAGGCUACUUAUUGUACAGUAACUGCCUUUAAUUUCAGAUGGUUACAGUUAUUGUUUUCAAUAGCCAAAAGCAAGUGUAAUUAUCUCUGCAGUUUAGGAUAUCGCACAAGAUUUGACAACACAGAACACGUCAUCACAGAAUUAUAAUUUUUUUUUCCGACAUCGUUUUUUGAUUUUGAUAAAUUUGCGCGAGGGAGAGAGCAAGACAGCGCUUGUGUUGUUUGAAGACGGUGAAGGUGGGCGUGAGCGCGUGGCUGGGCCCUCUCUCUCUCUCUCUCUCUCUCUCUCUCUCGUGCUCUUUCUCUCUCUCUGCUCGUUCUUAUGCGCUCUGUUAAACUGCUAGGACUUAAACUGUGCAAUUAAUCCGCGAAUCAAAUUCGGCUAGGGCCGGGGAGCAGCUGCCCGUACAGUUAAUGAAUAACGGAUCAACUACGACAGCCUACAUCGCACAUCCUGCAAUGUGACAAUCGUGGAUUCGUACAUCGCGAUAUCGAUGCUUAAACGACACAUCGUGCAGCCCUACUCAAUACCGUAGUUGAAACAUUAUAAUGUAACUUAAGUUUUGAAAGAGUUAAAACGGCUUGAUGUUGGUUGUAAAUUUGGUGCCUGGACUUCCUUGUUUUUAAUGCUGUGUCAAGUGAUAAGGAGUUGGUGUAAAUGUUUUUUCUAAUUGCGUAGAUUAGUUUUACUGUACAGUAGCCAUACGACAGAGUGAGUGUCUAUAGUAUUCAAUGCCUUUAUUCAGGCCCCUUUACGUUUCACAUUUUAAUUGUAAAUUGAUUAAUUUAUUUUCUGAUGGCACAUUAGACGAAACGCAUCAUAAAAACUAUAUGUUGUAAUAUCUGAUGGCAAGCACUGAACCCAUACUGUACUGAUUAAAUUUGGCUGUAGAUUCAA